UACGUAGGUGGCAAGCGUUGUCCGGAUUUACUGGGCGUAAAGAGCGCGCAGGCGGCUGGGCAAGUCCGAUGUGAAAGCUUCCGGCUUAACUGGAAAAUUGCAUCGGAAACUGCUCGGCUUGAAGGUGGGAGAGGGUAGCGGAAUUCCCGGUGUAGUGGUGGAAUGCGUAGAUAGUCGGGAGGAACACCAGUGGCGAAGGCGGUUGCCUGGAGCUUUGCUGACGCUGAUGCGCGAAAGCGUGGGGAGCGAUCCGG
rnacentral:rRNA from 1 species